rnacentral:rRNA from 1 species
CGGGACGGGUGAGUAACGCGUGGGUAACCUGCCUUGUACUGGGGGACAACAGUUGGAAACGACUGCUAAUACCGCAUAAGCGCACAGCUUCGCAUGAAGCAGUGUGAAAAACUCCGGUGGUACAAGAUGGACCCGCGUCUGAUUAGCUGGUUGGUGAGGUAACGGCCCACCAAGGCAACGAUCAGUAGCCGGCCUGAGAGGGUGAACGGCCACAUUGGGACUGAGACACGGCCCAG